UACGACUACAUAUCAGGCAUAUCAAUAAGCGGAGGAAAAGAAACUAACAAGGAUUCCCUUAGUAACGGCGAGUGAAGCGGGAAGAGCUCAAAUCUGAAAUCUUCAAGGUUCUACCUUGACGAAUUGUAGUUUAAAGAAGUGUUUUCUGUUAGUGAAGUUGGCUAAAAGUUCUCUGGAAUAGGACAUCAUAGAGGGUGAGAAUCCCGUAUUUGAUCAUUCCUUUCUAGCUGUGUGAUACACUUUCAAAGAGUCGGAUUGUUUGGGAAUGCAGUCCAAAAUGGGUGGUAAAUUUCAUCUAAAGCUAAAUAUUGGCGAGAGACCGAUAGCGAACAAGUACCGUGAGGGAAAGAUGAAAGGAACUUUGAAAAGAGAGUUAAACAGUACGUGAAAUUGUCAAAAGGGAAGCGUUUGACACCAGUGUUGUUUUCUCGAAAAUCAAUUAAAAAUAGCUGGAUUUUGUGUUGUAUUGACCUUUAAUCAGCUUGCUUCACUCUUUUCAUUGUCUUUUUUAAUGCACUUUUCGUUUAACAAGUCAACAUCAGUUUCUUUUGUUGUAAAAGGGUCAUUGGAAGGUGGCUUUCUCUUCGGAGAAAGUGUUUAUAGCCUUUGCUCUCUGCAAUCGGAGAGAUUGAGGUCUGCAGCGUAGAUCCUUCGGGGUUAGAUACAUUUGUGCUAAGUUAUAGCCUUUCAUAGACAACUUGUUGACUAUGAUCAGUCAUGUAGCUUACUCGCUUAUGCUAUUUUACCUACGCUUAGGAUGUUGAGCGCAUGUCUCUCUCU
rnacentral:rRNA from 1 species